UUUUGUUUUCUCGAGAUCACGGCAUAAUUGUUGUGUUUUCUCGAGAUCUCGAAAUAAUUGCUUUGUUUUCUCGAGAUCUCGAAUUAGUUGUGUUGUUUUCUCGAGAUCCUGAAUUAAUUAUGUCGUUAUCUCGGGAUAACAGGGUGAAU